CACACCUUGCGCUCCUUGGUAUUCCGAGGAGCAUGCCUGUUUGAGUGUCUUUUAAUUAUCAACUUCCCUUUCUUUAUUGAAAGGGGUGAGCUUGGACUUGGGGAUUGCUGGCUUAGUGUUGGCUUCCCUUGAAUUCAUUAGCUGGAAUUAAUUCGCAGCAUAUAUGCGGUGUGAUAAUGUCGUCACUGUGUAGCUCGGGUUGUCUAGCUUCUAAUUGUCCUUCACGUGACAAAUCUGAUCAUCUGGACCUCAAAUCAGGUAGGACUACCCGCUGAACUUAA
rnacentral:misc_RNA from 1 species